rnacentral:misc_RNA from 1 species
UAAUAAGUGCUUUAUGGCACUUUUAAAUCCAUAUCCACCUUGUGUGCAAUGUCGUCGAUCUUCUUCAUGGAGAUCGACCAAACAUCAACCUUUAUCUUUAAAACUCUUUGUCUGAAAAAUAUUAUGAAUAAACAAUUCAAAAUA